AGCCAUGGCGCCCCCUCGUGGCCGGAGGCCGCCGGAGCGCGGGUGAGGAGGAGGAGGUGCCCCCGGGGGCGGGCUGGGACGCCAUCUGUUCGUCGCGGAGCUAUUGUGGCAGGAAAGACCUGAAAAAGCCUGUGGAAAGGACAGUGGGUGAGAAGGGAAAGGAAAAAAUUGGAAUUAUAUGUACAUCCUCACCUUAUUCACAGUUAACGGCAAGCAGAACAAUUGUUUCACAGAGGCAUGUGAACAGAAUGGCCAUAUGGAGGAAAUAAAUGCAGAAGGAGAAGUAUACAGGUCUCCAGCAAGACAAAGAUGCCACUGAGAGCUGUCCGUGUGUUUGCUGCUCGAUUCCUGAAAGUCUCGAGGGUCCUUAUGCCACUUUUCAGCUGCUAUUGCUCAUUCGCAUCUGUCUCGUUGAAAGAAAGCAGAGUUUUCAGACAGCGGCAUGUAUUUGUCAGGAACCUACCAUUGAUGAUCCAAAGUAGUUUUAAGGCAGUAAAUGUGUUAAAAAUGAAAAUCUUUUAAAGCAAAUCUUUUGUGUUCCAUAGCAUUAUGUACAUGCCUUCUAAACACUUGUUAACUGUUCUGUCUUUUUGUCAGAAAAAUCCCCCAGCCGUGCUUUGCAGCCCAGAUUAAAGCAAUUGUUAUUCUGCAAA